rnacentral:rRNA from 1 species
CCUACGGGAGGCAGCAGUAGGGAAUCUUCCACAAUGGGCGAAAGCCUGAUGGAGCAACGCCGCGUGGGUGAAGAAGGUCUUCGGAUCGUAAAACCCUGUUGUUAGAGAAGAAAGUGCGUGAGAGUAACUGUUCACGUUUCGACGGUAUCUAACCAGAAAGCCACGGCUAACUACGUGCCAGCAGCCGCGGUAAUACGUAGGGAGCGAGCGUUAUCCGGAUUUAUUGGGUGUAAAGGGUGCGUAGACGGGAAUACAAGUUGGUUGUGAAAGCCCUCGGCUUAACUGAGGAACUGCAACCAAAACUA